UACAGAGGUGGCGAGCGUUGUUCGGAUUUACUGGGCGUAAAGGGCGCGUAGGCUGCGCGGUGUGUCGGGUGUGAAAUCCCAGGGCCCAACCCUGGAAGUGCGCCCGAAACUGCCGCGCUGGAGUGCGGGAGGGGAGAUCGGAAUGCAUGGUGUAGCGGUGAAAUGCGUUGAUAUCAUGCAGAACACCGGUGGCGAAGGCGGAUCUCUGGAACGCAACUGACGCUGAGGCGCGAAAGCAGGGGGAGCAAACAGG
rnacentral:rRNA from 1 species